rnacentral:rRNA from 1 species
UUAUAAUUUAUUUAUUAAAAAAAUUUAUAUUGAAUAUAAUUUAUUAAAAAUAAUUAUAAAAGGUAAUGUUUUAGUAAAGUUUAAUGAAAAAAUAAGUUUUAUGAUAGUUUAUUAUGUAUUGUGAAAGGAUAUUGAAAUAUAUUGAAAAAUUUUUAUUACAAAAGAAGAUUUAAUUUUUUGUACCUUGUGUAUCAGGGUUUAUUAAUUAAAUAAUAAAUAUUUAUUUAUCUCGAUUCUAUAAGAGUUAAUAGUUUAUUAAAGUUAAUGUGUUAAAAUUAUUUUAAAUAAAGUAUUAGAAAUGAAAUGUUAUUCGUUUAUAGAGAUAUCUAGUUUUUUUAGAAAUAAAUUUAAUUUACAAUUUUUUAAUUUUCUCUAUUGAUUUUAUUAAUGAGUCAAAUUAUUGAAUUGAAUAUUUUAGGGGAUAAGCUCUAAAAUAAAUUAUUAUAAAUAAUUAAUUUUAAAAUGAAAUGUAUGCAUAGAAUUAGCAACCAUUGAUAACUUUGUUAUAAAUUAUUUUUUGAAUUUUAUGAUUUAUUAAGUUUUAAGUUUUUAUAAAGAUUUUUCUAUUAAUUAUUAUAGAGAUUAAUAAUGAUAAAAUUAGUAUAUUAUUUAUGUUUAUAAAAUUUUAAGUGAAAAGUUUAUUUAAAGAACUCGGCAAAUAUAUUACUCGCCUGUUUAACAAAAACAUGUCUUUUUGAGUUAAUUAUAAAGUCUGACCUGCCCAAUGAUAAUUUUAAUGGCCGCAGUAUUCUAACUGUGCAAAGGUAGCAUAAUCAUUAGUCUUUUAAUUGAAGGCUGGAAUGAACGGUUGGACGAAGUAUAAGCUGUUUCAUAUAAAUUUAUUUUAGAAUUUUAUUUUUUAGUUAAAAAGCUAAAAUUGUAUUAAAAGACGAGAAGACCCUAUAAAUCUUUAUAAAUUAUAUUUCUUAGAUUUUUUGGGUUGAUUUUAUUUUUGAAAUAUAGUUUAUUUUGUUGGGGUGAUGUUAAAAUUUGACAAACUUUUAAAUUAUAAAUCAUUAAUUUAUGAAUGAAUGAUCCGUUUAUAGCGAUUAUAAGAUUAAGUUACUUUAGGGAUAACAGCGUAAUUUUUUUGGAGAGUUCAUAUCGAUAAAAAAGGUUGCGACCUCGAUGUUGGAUUAAGAAAAAUUUUAGGUGUAGCUGCUUAAAAAUUAAGUCUGUUCGACUUUUAAUUUCUUACAUGAUCUGAGUUCAGACCGGCGUAAGCCAGGUUGGUUUCUAUCUUUAAUAAAAUUUAAUAUUUCAGUACGAAAGGACCAUAUAUUAGAAUAAUUAUAUUUUAUAUAAUGAAUUUCAUUAAUAU